AGGCUUUGAGCAUCAUGAGGAUUAGCACUGCUAUUCCGAUUCAGAGAUAACGUUAAACGACAGGCAUUGCCUAUACAGGUUGAGCAGUUGAUGGAAUGGAAUGAUGUUGAGCGGGUGUUCCUUUGACAUUUCAAGAAAUGUAACCUUGAAUAUACAUCUUCAUAUGUAUAUCUCACACGUUUUCCGCUGCAAAACACUUUGAUUAGGAUAACUUUAUGUUAUGAAAUUGUGACACGUGUUAUUGGGUAACCCACCUUAAUCAGUUCUCAUUUAUGUGUAUGUUUUAUAAGUAUCCAAAUAAUCAUAUAUGAUCCUAGCAUUUUAUCUGUGAGUGACAUUUCCAUAUACUUUAAUGUUAAGUAAUUGUCCAUUUCCAUUU